UUUGAUAGUAACUAUACACAUGCAUUGUCAUGUUUUUUCGUCUGAUUUGCAGUUUGGUUGUUAUGACUUCCUGAUUUCCUGUGUUUUCUAUAUUUAUAUAGUCACUCAUUUGGAGAAAUUGUCAGUGCAGUGUAACUAUAGCCUAGCACUAUACACACAGCCAGCACGCAGCUUUUUCCAAAAGUACUCGACUGCAUAAGUUUGCAUCCAGUUGCUAAAGAGAAAAAUGAAGCUAUAUCAAGCAUUUGCAGUUUUCCUCGUACUGAUAGGUACAGGUAGUUGUACAGAUUUGUGCAGCGAGUAUGGUCAGUUCAAAAGGUGUAAGCAGAUUAUCGAUACGUUUGAAGAAGCCUUAAUCAAGGAAGAAUCAAACAUUUUUGCACUCAAUCAACUUUUUUUCUCAAGCAACCGAUAUCCAGCGUCCGACGCCGUGGUUAGUUAUCAUAUUAUCGUGUCUGGACAAGAUGAGAAUUCAACCGAUGGGAAUUCAACAUUUUUUGGUGUCAGAGGCUGGUGCAAUAACGCUGCAUACACAAUAGCAAGUCCUUUUAUGAUUGAGACACUCUUUACGGGACCCAUUGCCUAUCAUAAAGAAGUAAAUCAUCAGAUGUUAAUGCCAAGUAUCCUACACCUAAACAUAACAGGACACAACUUUAGUGCAGAUGAAAUCGAUUAUGCACUCGACUAUAUCACACCUUGGCUUAAAUUGUAUACAAAAGAAGCACAGUCAGGUCAUAUAACUUACAAGGAUGAAGAGAAAGCAUAUAUGUGUGAUGCCUACUCAUUUAACUGGAGUUUAACAGCGAUUACAAUUACUAUAACUAUAGCAGCAAUUUUCAUGUCGUGCAAGGUGCUGCAAUUUUUGCUGAAAGCCGAAUCAAAACGACCUGAGGUAAACAGGGCGGUGUUCUUUUCUUUUGGAAUUGUAGCUUUUUUUGUCAACAUUGCUGAUGUCUGUUUUCUUGUGCAUGCAGUAUAUAUCGAAUGCAUCGAAAUAAACGAUGAGAAAAGAAUAACAGACCAUACUGUUCUAAGUCAUGUGGUAAUUAAAGUAUUGGAGCUAGUUGUUGGCGUUGUUGGCAUUGCCGUAUUUAUUCUCGUUUUUUUUAUUGGUCUCUGCUGCUCAAAAGAUCUUCCACAACCACACCUACAUGUGUGCACAUCACCUUCAAGCUCAGCAACAAAAUAUUGCUGUUUCGCUUACAAAUGUGCUUCCUUCUUUUUUUUCUCUAAUUUCUUCUACUUCGCAUAUAUGGUUGGUCUAAACGUACUGCCAACAUUUUUGAUGCUGUUCAUUAUGCCAAUCGAAACACUAUCUGUACUGGUCUUCUAUGUGUCACUGUUGUCCAGUUGUGUAAUGGUAAUGACCAACAUCACAUACGAAAUUGAUAGUGAGAUCCAUAAAAGCGCUGAGGCGCGGGAUAAUACAAAAAAAUGUAUUACCAUCAUUUUUUCAGCUAUCAGUUACUUUUCAGUACUAAUUUCCAUUGUUUUGCUUGUGGUGGUAUUUCUGUUUAUAUUGGCUGAAACCACAAAUAGUAAUACACCAUAUCUUGCUACAGUUAUAAUAUCUCUUUGCUCCACAAUACUCGCCGUACUGGGUGGCUGUUUCACCCAGUAUAUAUUGUCAGAGAAGGACAAAAGUGACAAGGAAUCUGGUAGUCACCCACAAACAUCAUCAGAGAAGGACAAAAGUGACGAGGAAUCUGGUAGUCAAGAUACCUCUACAGCUACAGAAAACACCCCUCUUGUGAAUAGAAGUUAGAGAAAAACUUAGUUGAGACACUUAACUUGAACACACGCUAAACUUUUUUGUUGAAUUACGUUAUAUGUACGUAUGUAUAUACCAAUAAGCACUAGCUGCACUAUGUUACAUGAUUUUAUCGGACAUAAAA